rnacentral:rRNA from 1 species
GGGGAUAACGUUUGGAAACGAACGCUAAUACCGCAUAAGACCACACUUCCACAUGGGAGAGGGGUCAAAGGAGCAAUCCGCUGAAAGAUGGGCUCGCGUCCGAUUAGAUAGUUGGGGGGGUAACGGCCCACCAAGUCGACGAUCGGUAGCCGGACUGAGAGGUUGAACGGCCACAUUGGGACUGAGACACGGCCCAGACUCCUACGGGAGGCAGCAGUGAGGGAUAUUGGUCAAUGGGGGAAACCCUGAACCAGCAACGCCGCGUGAGGGAAGACGGUUUUCGGAUUGUAAACCUCUGUCCUCUGUGAAGAUAAUGACGGUAGCAGAGGAGGAAGCUCCGGCUAACUACGUGCCAGCAGCCGCGGUAAUACGUAGGGAGCGAGCGUUGUCCGGAUUUACUGGGUGUAAAGGGUGCGUAGGCGGGUAAGCAAGUCAGAAGCGAAAUCCGUGGGCUUAACCCAUGAACUGCUUUUGAAACUGUUUAUCUUGAGUGAAGUAGAGGUAGGCGGAAUUCCCGGUGUAGCGGUGAAAUGCGUAGAGAUCGGGAGGAACACCAGUGGCGAAGGCGGCCUACUGGGCUUUAACUGACGCUGAAGCACGAAAGCGUGGGUAGCAAACAGGAUUAGAUACCCU